rnacentral:rRNA from 1 species
CAGCCGCCGCGGUAAUACGAAGGGGGCUAGCGUUGCUCGGAAUUACUGGGCGUAAAGGGAGCGUAGGCGGAUCGUUAAGUUGGGGGUGAAAGCCCGGGGCUCAACCUCGGAACUGCCUUCAAUACUGGCGAUCUUGAGUAUGAGAGAGGUGUGUGGAACUCCGAGUGUAGAGGUGAAAUUCGUAGAUAUUCGGAAGAACACCAGUGGCGAAGGCGACACACUGGCUCAUUACUGACGCUGAGGUUCGAAAGCGUGGGGAGCAAACAGGAUUAGAUACCCCUGUAGUCCCUGUCUCUUAUAC